UACGUAGGGGGCAAGCGUUGUCCGGAUUUAUUGGGCGUAAAGAGCGUGUAGGCGGUCAGGUAGGUCCGUUGUGAAAACUCGAGGCUCAACCUCGAGACGCCGAUGGAAACCAUCUGACUAGAGUCCGGAAGAGGAGAGUGGAAUUCCUGGUGUAGCGGUGAAAUGCGCAGAUAUCAGGAAGAACACCAACGGCGAAGGCAGCUCGCUGGGACGGAACUGACGCUAAGGCGCGAAAGCGUGGGGAGCGAACAGG
rnacentral:rRNA from 1 species